AGACUUCCUGGGGCCUAACCCCAGCAUCUCAGGGUGAGGCUGCAACCUGGGCAGUGGUAUGUGUGUCUGAAAAGCUUUCCAGGUGAUUCUUGUGUGUAAUCAAGAAAUGCUAACAUUGUGGGAGUCACCCAUUGUACCCUGAAGUGGCAGCUUAUACAACCUGACUGGCGUUUGAAGCACUGGAGGAGCUUCAGGAAAUAGCAGUCCCAGUCAGGGAUGCAGCUCGGGUAGAGCGCUUGCCAAGAGCGCACAAGGACCCAAUCCUCAACACUGCAGAAACAGAAACCAAACGACCCAUUAAAAAAAGCAGUCCUAACACCCAGAUCAGAGCCACCUGAGACAAGCACCUCAGUGAAGGUCACCUUAGACCAGCUUACCCUAUGCUACUCACAGUACUGAGGAUUGAACUCAGGCCCUUAGCACUGAGUGACAUCUUCAGACCCUUUUUGUUUUUUAUUUUGAGACAAGAUCUCCGUGAGCUG
rnacentral:lncRNA from 1 species